rnacentral:rRNA from 1 species
GCACAAGCGGUGGAGCAUGUGGUUUAAUUAGAAGCAACGCGAAGAACCUUACCAGGUCUUGACAUCCUCUGACAACCCUAGAGAUAGGGCUUCUCCUUCGGGAGCAGAGUGACAGGUGGUGCAUGGUUGUCGUCAGCUCGUGUCGUGAGAUGUUGGGUUAAGUCCCGCAACGAGCGCAACCCUUGAUUUUAGUUGCCAUCAUUUAGUUGGGCACUCUAAGGUGACUGCCGGUGACAAACCGGAGGAAGGUGGGGAUGACGUCAAAUCAUCAUGCCCCUUAUGACCUGGGCUACACACGUGCUACAAUGGACGGUACAAAGAGUUGCAAGACCGCGAGGUGGAGCUAAUCUCAUAAAACCGUUCUC